CUUCCGACCACAGCGAGCAUUAAGUAAGCCUAUAAAAGCAGCAGAGAGACACAUCAGGCUCGGUGCGCCCUCAGAGCCCGUCUUCUCCAUCAGCUCAUAGGGCUCCACCGGCGCCAUUGAUCCGCCUUUGGCCGCUUCUUCUGUCAAUCAGCGGCAGCAGUUUGGUGGAGCGGUGAGGGAGCUGUCCGGUGCUGAAACGCAAAAACUCUCAAAUAUAAGCUCCCAAUUUUACACUAAGAGUCCCCGUUCUGAUGUUUAUCACUAUAUAAGAGCAGCUCAGUCAUCCACUUUGAUUUGAAGUUGCUUUUACUCUCUGUUUAAUUUCCUUCACUUCACUUUUUAUACCUCCAGAGCUCAGUAAAAGUUUCUUUAAGUGCAAUUUGUGUCAAACUGGAAGCUUAAAAUGGUGCAGACAAGAUGUUUUUAGCUGAUUGUGGAAGUGUGUGGAAGCACAUGAAAAUAAGAGGAACUAAAGGAAUUAUGAUGGUUUGUUGUAUUUUAUUGCUUAUGUGACAAUACAAUGUGAAAUAUUAUACAUAAACAACAUGUAAUACAUAAACAAACAAACAAGGGUGCCAGAAAAGAAAUAUCAUAAAUGAUGUAUUACUGUAACGCUCAAAAUGUGUUAAAACAGUGACAAUAAUGGAAACUAUAUGUAAAAUAAUUACUUCUUGGCUUUUUGUGUUUAUUUUCGUUGCAAAAAAAUAAUUUUUUUUCUGCUAUUUUACCAGUUAUCUGCAAAAUUAAAAAAAAUAACAACAAUAUUUUCACAGUAAAACAGUGUUUUUUUGUUCAAAUAUUGCAAAAAUGUAGACUUUAUUUACUUGUUUGGCUUUUUAACGGUACACAUGUAAAUUUGAUUUUUUUUCAGUGAUUUUACAAGAUAUCUGUAACUUAGCAAAACAGGGAAAAUCUGUAAACUAACCAUUAACGUAUAUAGUGUCAACUGUUAAUUUGCACAUUUUUUCUUCCAAAUAGCUGGAAGAUUUUUUAUUUUGAUGUGAACAUUAUUUUUGCCAUAUAAAUGAUCACUUUUUGUCUGUAACUUUACCAGAUAUUAUCUGUAAGUUAACAAAACAGUGAAAGGUUGUAAAAUAAUGGUAAAUUGUUACCAAAAAGCUGCUUUAAAAACUGUCUUUUUUGCUUUUUUUUACACUGUAUAAAAUGUAAAUUGAGUUACAAUCAAAGACUAAUGAUAAAGUGGUCCUGCUGUUGUCCUUUAGUUAAAUUCAACUACAACCCCUCUUAACACAUCUAAACAUUUAAUAUUCAAGGUAAAAGACACUUUUCAUAUUAAAGCAAACAUCUUAGAUUGUACUUGGGUGUAAAAUAAACAAGCAAAACAAAACAAAAACAAAGUAUAUCAGCUAUGUGGGUGUUGUUUGAAACAAGACACAGAAAACUAAAGAACUCGUGUGGCUUAUAGGAUCCCUUUACUUGAGAUAAGAAGCUCAGUGAAAGCGUGGGUUAAUCACAGUUUGGAGACAGUUCGAGGAAGACUCUUUUUUGUCUGAACAACACAAUACACCUACAUACAAAAUGAGCUUUAGAGAUUAAUGGUUUUCCCAAUUUUACUUUUGCAGAACUUGACUGGUCCACAAAGAGCUCUGGCUUGAACUUACGACAUCCAAGCCUUUCCAAAAAGAGUAGGUGAAAUGUUUGGGUGCUUCUCCAGUCCUUCACUUCAACCUGAAUACGUGUAAAACCAAUAACGUGGCUCCUUCGUGUGUUAAUCAGGAUCCUCCCUCCCGGCCUGUCUUUCUCCCGGGUGGAGGGCCAUGUCACGUCACGCUGUGUGGGCUUCAGGCAUCUCGUCCUGGAGGCAGGGCGAAGGAAGACAGGCGUGACGGAGGGUGACAGAGCUGGGAGUCGGCCUGAGCGCUGCAGGGACCAUGAAGGAUGCUCAAAGUGAGAACCUGAGGACCCUUUUUUUGUUUUUUGUUUUUUGGCCAACCGGCAGCAAAAGCCGCUGCAUCCCAGGUUUGCUUGUCCUGUGUUGAAAUGUUGAUAGGGGUGAAACUGCGAUGAGGUGUCACUGCACCGCUGUACAGAAAGUUCUCAGUCUCAAACAAGCACCAAAGUGACUUUGUCCUUCUGAAAGAAUGAAAUAGGUGAGUGGACGGCAUUUUGUUAGUGUGGAAAAAGGGGGGAAAUGAGACAGAAUCUGGGUUUACUAAUAAUAAAAUAUGCUUUUAUCAAUUUAAUGUGGAGCUUUGUGUUGUGAGAAGGUUUGGAUACUGAGUAAAUGUUGUCCAGUCUCUAUAACACUUCAGGAUACAGAACAUCCUGAAGUGUUUUCACAUAUUUCUCCAUUGGGGCAUGUCAGAAAAAAGAUAAGAUAAUCCAAAAUUCUUGUGCCAGAUGAUGAUCAGAAAAAACAAAUGACAUAAUAUUUGAAAUGUGGUGCUUAAAAGGUAGGAAAGUAAUAGCAUAGAAGUACAGUGCAUUGCUGAAGUAAAAUAAGUGAGCUAAAUAGACUAGAAUAGAACAAUAAAAGGUAAUGUUGGACAUUAUACUGAGGUAAUUAAUUAAAUCACACAUGAUUAUAAAGUAGUCGUCACAUAAAAGCAAAAUGUUGCACCUGAAAAUGAAAUAUUGCACCUCAAAAAUGAGAUAAAAAUAAAAUAUUGCAUGUAAAAAUUAGAUUAAAAUGAAACAUUGUACUUUGUAAAUUAGAUGAAAAUAAAAUAUUUCAGCUCAAAAUGACAUUAAAAUGAAAUAUUGCACCUCAAAAAUAAGAUGAAAAUGAAAUAAUGAUCUGAUUGAUAAUGAAAAAAUGACAUUUAAAAUGAAAUACUGCACAUGGAAAGUUAUAUUAAAUAAAACAUUGCACCUUGAAAAUGAGAGGGAACUAAAAUAUUACACCUAAAAAUAAGAUGAAAAUAAAAUAUUGCCCCUCAGAAUUACAAUAAAAUGAAAUAUUGUAUAUCAAAAAUGAUAUUAAAAUGAAAUGUUGCACCUCAUAAAUGAGCCUAAAAUGAAAUAUUGCACCUUACAGUGACGUUGUCUGAAAAUGGCAGUGAAAUGUUGCACGUGUAAUAAAACUACUGCACAUGCAAAUUAAAUGUUACCCAUGAAAAUUUAAAUAUUACACAUGAAAAUGAAAUAUUGCACCUGAAAAAUGAGCUAAGAAUAAAAUAAAUGCACAUUAUGUUGACAAUGCUGUACACAAAAGUGAAAUAUUGAACAUAAAAUGGAAUUAUUGCACCUGAAAAAAUGUCAUAUAAAAUAUUGCAUGUUGCAGUGACAAUGUUGCACAUUGAAAUAUUGCAAAAAUAAAAGUGUUACAUAGGAUACUGAAGCUGAUAUUGCACAAACUAUUAAGACAAGUAACAUUGCAAAUGAUACUGUUCCUGUUCAGAUCUAAGUGUCUGAUCUCUGUCUUCUUACAUCCUUUCUCUCCUCUCUCUUCCCUUUAGAGGCCUUCAGUGGGUUAUAAUUAUGAGCAAAAUGCUCUGAAGAACAAAAAUUGAACCGAUAAAAAAUAAAAUAAAACCCUAAAACAUCAGUCACGAUGAUAAUGAUGGUCGGUGGACAUCACACCUUCUCCUGAGGUGUGAGCCAUCUGCACAGGUUCCUGACGUUAAUGUGCUGCCAGUUGAUGAAUAUGCCACCAACACCGUUUGCUGAAAUUGAGAAACUGUGGUGCCGCUUUAAUUAUGUGCGGUUCUGGAAUAAUGUGGCAUUUGAAUGGCAGAUCUGAGCUUUGCAGUCUUCAAAACUCCCACUGAAUUCUGACUAACGGUGUUUCAGGGCGGCGUAUUACGGAGCUGAGCUGAAGUGAUGACAGAUUCAGGUUUCAUGUUCACUUGUAGGCAAACUAAAAUCAUCUUAUAAACCAGCAAUGAUGUAAAGAUUAGCCGUAGGAUUUCUGAUCACCUCCUGCUAUCUCCAUCCCCACCCUCACCCCAACUGUUCGAGGCAGAUGGUCGCCUUCCCUGAGCCUCUUUCUGCCUGGUUUCCCCUCCCUGUUUUAGGGUUUUUCUGGUUCCAUCCCACCAUCGCUCAUGGGAAAUAAAAAGGCAGCUUUGCAUUGUUGGGUUUUCUGUUUCUAAUUUGUAAAGUCUGUACCCUGACUUACGCUGUGAAUCUGCGCUAUAUAAAUAAGACUGAAUUGAA